UCGAGAAUCUUCGGCAAUGGGGGAAACCCUGACCGAGCGACGCCGCGUGUGAGAUGAAGGCCUUCGGGUUGUAAAUCACUGUCAGAGGGGAGGAAAUGUCGGUGGGUUCUCCCACCGAUUUGACCUAUCCUCAGAGGAAGGACGGGCUAAGUUCGUGCCAGCAGCCGCGGUAAUACGGACCGUCCAAACGUUAUUCGGAAUCACUGGGCUUAAAGGGUGCGUAGGCGGUCCGGGAAGUUGGGUGUGAAAGCCCUCGGCUCAACCGAGGAACUGCGCCCAAAACUGCCGGGCUAGAGGGAGACAUAGGUGAGCGGAACUUAGGGUGGAGCGGUGAAAUGCGUUGAGAUCCUAAGGAACACCAGUAGCGAAAGCGGCUCACUGGGUCUCUUCUGACGCUGAAGCACGAAAGCUAGGGGAGCGAAGA
rnacentral:rRNA from 1 species